GAUUUAUCGUUGGGUGGUGGAUAACCGCGGGAAACUGCGGCUAAUACAGCAUGACGCCUGUGGGCCAAAGGUCGCAAGACUGCCUGACGAGGAGCCUGCGUCCGAUUAGCUAGUUGGUUGGGUAAUGGCUGACCAAGGCUGUGAUCGGUAGCUGGUCUGAGAGGAUGAUCAGCCACACUGGGACUGAGACACGGCCCAGACUCCUACGGGAGGCAGCAGUGGGGAAUAUUGGACAAUGGGCGCAAGCCUGAUCCAGCAAUGCCGCGUGGAU
rnacentral:rRNA from 1 species